UUCCGAUCAUGAUGGUGUUUUCCCUUUUUUUGUUUUUUUUCUCCAUCUGUCAUUAUAAAUCUUCUAGUGAAGGAGGGCAACACUUCUGGAACAUUGCAGGGGGACUGAUGGAUUUCAGGUCAGAAAUCCUUCCUAGAAGACUGACUGUCAAAGAAGUGGAGAGGUGGAAACCAAAGCUCUUUGCUCCUUCAAGAAAUGCAUGUGUCUCCCACAGAUGGUUCUGUGGCAAACAAAGGGAAAGUCAUCAGAGCCGGGGGAAGGAAAAUUUCUGAACUUUUCUUCUGAGUUGAACAAUGUGUAUCGCAAACGCUCAUUUCAUAUUUGCUGGAGGCAGCCAGGCGGUUUUGAAAGGCACUAACCGUGCUGUCGGAGCCCCAGGUUGAAGCCCAGCUCGGCCUUCCUGCUGAGGUACCUGAUGGGAGCCAGCGGUUUGCUGAGCCUCUCAGGGCUGCGGUCGCCAACUGUAGAAGGCAAGUCACGCUGCUUUUUGAAGAAGUGCUUUGAAGAACCGGGGCUGCAGAGUAAAGACACCAUGGAUAUUGGCUCCUACUGUUAAUGAUGAAUUGCAUGUGUAUGUGGUGAUGAUAUUGAAGAAAACUGUGGUAGCUAGAUACAUAAUUGAAUAAUUGCUCUUUCCUUGUAGCUGUAUUUCCUUGGAACGGCAGAUUCGAAGGGUCGUGUGAGAAAUAUUUACAUGCUUUGGUUUGUCAAGACAGAAGUGGUUCUCCUAGCAGGUUUGCAUUUGUUUAGAUCUGGGUUUCUCAAUCCCAGCUCUGUUGACGUUUUGGACGAGAUGCUUCUUUGCUGUGGGGGGCUGUCCUGUGUAUUGCAAGAUGUUUAACAGCAUCCCUGGCCUCUACUCUCUAGAUGCCAGAAGCACAUCCCAUCUCAAUCAGACAAUCAAAA
rnacentral:lncRNA from 1 species